rnacentral:misc_RNA from 1 species
CUUGUCCAGUCUCUGUGUUUAAUACCUCUUAAAUUAUUACAGAAUUACGGUGGUCCCCCAAUAUAUUGAAUUGAAAGAAACUGGAGUGUACAUACCUACUUAUUUUCUUGAAGUUUAUCAGUAGCCCACCACUCAAUCCCUCAACACACACACACACACAGAGGAUGAGCGGAGAAGGGAAGGUGGUGUGUGUAACAGGAGGAUCAGGUUACAUAGCUUCCUGGCUAGUUAAUUUCUUGCUACAAAAGGGUUAUACAGUCAAAGCCACCGUUCGUGACCCAAGUGAUCCAAGGAAAACA